AACCUUUAGCAUAACCAAGUAUUAAAGGCAACGCCUGCCCAGUGAACAAUUAAACGGCCGCGGUACCCUAACCGUGCAAAGGUAGCGUAAUCAUUUGUCUAUUAAUUGUAGACCUGUAUGAAAGGCAAAAUGAGGGUCUAACUGUCUCUUAUAAUUAGUCAAUUAAACUGAUCUCCCAGUACAAAAGCUGGGAUAAUAACAUAAGACCAGAAGACCCUGUGAAGCUUAAACUAAACUAUCAAACCACAUGAUAGCUAGUUUCGGUUGGGGCGACCUUGGAAACAAGCAGAACUUCCAAAUAAGUAGCACUAAUAAACGCUAAAACUACAAGGCCAACAAGCCAACUAACGACCCAGCACCGCUGAUUAACGAAACAAGUUACUCCAGGGAUAACAGCGCCAUCUUCUUCAAGAGCCCAUAUCAAAAAGAAGGUUUACGACCUCGAUGUUGGAUCAGGACAUCCUAAUGGUGCAGCCGCUAUUAAGGGUUCGUUUGUUCAACGAUUAACAGUCCC
rnacentral:rRNA from 1 species